UUUGCCAAAUUUAAUCCAAAUAAAGGCUAUUACAAUCGAAUUCGGAUUUUUAGGGUUAAUCUCAAAAGACAAUUGGUGUGGAAGUUCAUUCUCUUCGCUCGUGGUCUCCAGUUCGCUGCCCAAAAGAAGGGUAUAAAGAGAUUAGAUCCAAGCAUCUCAACGAUCCAUUAAUUAUGGAUACUUUACAUGCAAAAUCGAAAUCUCAAAUUGCAAAGUCGAAAUUUAUAGUUCAGCAAUCACCUCAAAAAGCAGAGGAGAAAGUCGAAGGUGUACAACACGACCUAAUCUUCCAAAGGGACUGAAGUAUGGCCAAGGAUGGUUAUGUUAGCAAAAAUGACGAUCCAAAAAAACUUUAGAGAGAUUUCAUCUCUCCUAGUCAAGGAGAACCGAUUGACGUCGAGUAGUUUUUUUUUGAAUUUUGUAGUAGUAGAAUGUACAAUUUUAUUUUUGCACCAAUAGUAAACAUUUUUUUUGGUUAUUCAACAAUUUAGCAGACUUUUAUCAGAUUCUCAUGUAUCAAACUCGAAUUUAAGAUGAAAAUUUAU